AAAGAAUGCAAUAAAUAUUUAAUAUAAGUAUUAUCUUCUAAUUAUUUGUUUAAUUACUCAAACAUUAAGCAUUCGCUGUACCAUUGAAAAUUCGUAUAAAUAUUGCAUUAUUUCUCUGUACAGUAUAUAUCUGUAUAUACUUUUCCUUUUUAACUACAGAUAAAUCAUUUCCAGUUUUCAAAACAACCGUGUAACGUUAACAAAUUCAGCUGUUUGAAUCCUACGAGAUUAUAAACUAAAUCUACUUAAUGAGAAAAUAAUUAACGAAAUAUAGAAAUUUAUUUAUGUUCUCACUUUAAUCGAGCUUGCAGAAGAGGAUUUUGAAAGACAAACGGGGAUAUAUAUAUAUAUAACGAUAGUCAAGACCAUCAACAAGUCGUCUGACUUCCUUUAACGUGUGUAUGUGUGUGUGUGAUAGCCUAGUUCUUCAAGGCCUAACAAAAAAAAAAAAACUUUUUUUUUUUUUUUUUUUUCGCCCUUGUUACGCGCCUACAAGUUUCUGUUCGCAAAUACGGUCACGCAAGUCACGAUCGCCGAAUUAAAGAAACAAACGUCUUUUUGUGUGUCACGAGGUAAAAAAGAUGAUAAAUGAAAAAUAAAUGAAUGAUUUCUGUAAAAUAGGAAAAUUACGUAGUUUAUUUAAUAAUUAAUUUGUGUUUUCAAUCCUUCAUGAAUAUUAAUGGUUCUGAACCGAGCUUACACAGGUAGAGUUGCACUCUACUCUAAUUUUUAAGAAGUGUUUUCUGAUCUUAACAAAAAUUAGAUGUUUUUGUAACUUACGGAUUGAUGUGUGUAUUUUUUUUUCCUUCGAUAUACGUGAUAAUGGCAUACGAGCAAUGAUUAGUUAUAUAAAAAAAAAUAAUAGUCGAUAACGUUAAAUUGUUUAUGAAAUUUGCAAAUAUUAAUUAUAUAGUAUUAACAGAAGGUAUAAAUCAUUCCAAUCUUUAAAAUUAGGUUUAUAAAAAUAUUAAGAGAGCGUAUUUCCGUGAUAUAGCAUUCGAUCUGCUCACGAUUCUCUAUCGUGAAUGGCACACGCUCUGCAAUGACGUCACUGUACCUGGCCCAGAACAGUCGUCACGCGAAUGCCCGCAUCGCCGUCACGCGAACACCUCCCGCGAACAAUGGUAAAAUUAUCGUCACGCAUACUUCUAGUCCACGCCCCGGAAUCGUCACGAAUGUCGGUACAAUAUCACGCAAGACACGUAACCUCAAGUUCUUUAACUAAGUGAAAUAAAAAGCCGCUCGGUAUCGUUGGGGAAAACAAAAAGAGUUUCGCCCCAAUUCAUUAAACGGUUGUCUGUCAGACUGUUUCCUAUUAAUGAGAUUUUAAUUAGCUCCGAUCCCUAGGUUAGAAAAAUUACCGACGUUUCCAGCCAAGCCUCAGGAGGGGGAAGAACAAGAGGGCGUGAAAAACGAUCCCUCUAUGCCGGAAUCUCCCGCCAGGUGUCGCUGCGGGAAGCGCCAGUCCAUCAACUGCUUUCCCCCCUCCAUCCCCGUAGGUUUAACGAGGCGCGAUAAGAAAGGAAAAGAGAAAUCCUCCUUCACCGCACAACACCAAGUCUCUGCGGUGAAGAGCUCAUCUCUGGGGCAGAGACGUAAUAGAAUGGCGGUUUUUGGAAAACUUCCUAAAAACCUCUCUGUCUUACUUUCGCUCACUUCUGAAGGUGAAAGCCACGCAUUCUAAAAUCGCAAACUCAUUUGGAAAUCUAUGUUUCUGGGCGAUAGGUCAAAAAACUGUCAAAAAAAACUUAACUUUUACUCUCCGCCACGGUCAUUGCCCUACCGAAUGAAUUCAAUAAUGGUUGAUAAUUUAUUCAGACUUUUGAUAUUCAACAGCUCCAAACUUAAAAGUUUGAAAAAUAUUAUAUUUAAUAUAAUACUCACAUUUACGCGAAAUUACUCGGUCGAAAC
rnacentral:lncRNA from 1 species